rnacentral:rRNA from 1 species
GAGCUCAAAUUUGAAAUCUGGCGUGCUCAGUGCGUCCGAGUUGUAAUCUAUAGAGUCGUUUUCCGUGCCGGACCGUGUCCAAGUUCCUUGGAACAGGAUAUCAAAGAGGGUGACAAUCCCGUACUUGACACGACCACCGGUGCUCUGUGAUACGUCUUCUACGAGUCGAGUUGUUUGGGAAUGCAGCUCAAAAUGGGUGGUGAGUUCCAUCUAAAGCUAAAUAUUGGCGAGAGACCGAUAGCGAACAAGUACCGUGAGGGAAAGAUGAAAAGCACUUUGGAAAGAGAGUUAAACAGUACGUGAAAUUGUUGAAAGGGAAACGAUUGAAGUCAGUCGUGUCCGAGAGGCUCAGCCGGUUCUGCCGGUGUAUUCCUCUCGGAUGGGUCAACAUCAGUUUUGUCCGGUGGAUAAGGGCGGCAGGAAUGUAUCACCCCAGGGUGUGUUAUAGCCUGCCGUCGCAUACAUCGGGUGAGACUGAGGAAUGCAGCUCGCCUUUAUUGGCCGGGGUUCGCCCACGUCCGAGCUUA